UACGUAGGGGGCAAGCGUUGUCCGGAAUCAUUGGGCGGAAAGCGCGUGUAGGCGGCUGAGUAAGUCUGCUCUGAAAGCCCGGGGCUCAACCCCGGGAGGCGGGUGGAUACUGCUCAGCUCGAGUCCGGAAGAGGAGUGUGGAAUUCCUGGUGUAGCGGUGAAAUGCGCAGAUAUCAGGAGGAACACCAAUGGCGAAGGCAGCACUCUGGGACGGUACUGACGCUGAGACGCGAAAGCGUGGGGAGCAAACAGG
rnacentral:rRNA from 1 species